rnacentral:lncRNA from 1 species
CCUCUUCCAUAUUUGAUUGAUACAUACAUAAUACAUACAAACAACAUACACAGUUGAUUUUGCGAAGCAAUUACAUAAGCAAAGCAAAAGUACUGUCAGGCGAAAAAAAAGGAAGGAAAUUGUGAGGGCCAAAUGGUAAUUGAAUUAAGUUCAUACGGAAAGAGGAGGAGAAAGACCGAACUCAAGUCCCCACAGCUCAAAUCCUCCCUUCACGAAAUCAUAGUAACCUCCCUUCAAUGCCAAUGUUUUCUUCACCAAUCCUUCUCUCACGAAUGGAUACGUAAGCAGAUUUCCAAGUGAAACGUUCACAGCUUCCUGCAACAUUUUUCAUCAUCGUCAAAUUAUAAAAUACUGCUAUACAUUUAAUUAAUUGAUAUUCAAAAAGUUAAAUUUGAAUUUUACCUUCUCACAAGCUGUGCAUUGAUGUCCAAAUUCUUUAUCUCCGUGAUCGGCCAGAACCUUGGCCUUGGCAGGUAAACAAAUUUUCACCCAAUCCUCAAUAAAGGCACUGCGUUUAUUAGAUUAUUAAUCAAUGAUCUGUUAGCGAUAAGUUUUUUUGAAUGAAUAAUUGUAGAAAAGGUUAAAGAGUGACGUACGUUGAUUCACUACCAUCUUCAGGUAGAGACAUGAGACCUUUGAUACCUCCACAAGCACUGUGGCCAAUGACAACGAUGUUCUCCACCUUAAGAUGAAGAACAGCGUACUCAAUGGCUGCUCCCACUCCAGAGUAUCUCACCUGUUCAAAUUCAAUCCCAUCUUUAUUUUUAAAAAUUCAACUCCAAAGCCAAAUAAUCGACUCGUAUAUACUUUGGAUUGAAGCAUAAUUGAUUGAUUUGUUACUGACCUUGUCAUAAGCAGGGACCAUGUUGGCAAUGUUACGAACCAUGAAUGCCUCACCAGGUUGGAAGUUGAGGACAUGGGAUGGGCACACUCGCGAGUCAGAGCACGCGAAAACCAUGAACUGUUACAUAUUUUGGGCAAUAGACUCAUCAGAAACCGUACAAUAAAAUUAGAUAACAAAUUAACAAGGAAUUUGUACCUUAGGGCUCUGGCCCUUUGCUAGUUCACCAUAUAAGGCUGGGUUUGUACUGUUGGUACAUUAAUAGAAAAGAAGAAAAAUUAUCAGGCACUAAUGUUACAACAUCAAAUAUGCAGAAAUUUUAAUUUGAAGAAAGUGAUGAAUUUGCUUACUCAUAUUUCUCAGUUUUGAAAUGAAUAAAGCCAGCUUUCAUGUGCUCAACAGGGUCGAAGGCCUUGCUGCCAUCUGCUGAUUUCAAUUCAGCAGUAAUCUGGUCAACUCUUGCUGCAGCAACUGGUCCAAGUUCUGCUUUCUCACUGUAAUUGCAUAAAAUAAUUUAGACCAUUAUUAUUAUUAUUGAAGCGAUAUUUCAGGUAGAAAAAAUGACUUGUGGUUUGAGCACAUCGCACUAAAUACUUUUAUCUGGAGAAAUUGAAACCAAUUAACAUGUUCUGUUGCUGUGAAAUUGAAUUUUACGAAUAAACAUUGCAUGAUUAUGUUUUCUCGGCAGUUUUGCAAAUUUUAACAUUUUUUUGAGUACGUAUCUACGUAUAUAUGUAUGCAUAUUUUUUGGAGCCCACUUGAUCAAGAAAAAAGAAGUAUUGUGAUUUAGAGGUAGAGUCGUAGAGAGAGUACAAACCUGAGGAGUUUCUCGAGUGCAGCAAUGGCCUGAUCGUAGGAUUCUUUUGCCAUUUCUUCUCUCUGCAAGUUCUAAUUCUCAUUAGCAUAUUGGAAGACGUAUAUAUAAUAUAUAUAAGUUAAUGUUUGACCAUAGAUUUUGAAAAUUUAUCUUUAAAUAUUUGUUGAUUAUAUAUUUUUAAAAAAUUUAGACUAAGAGAAAUUUCGCUUUCACUUUUAAGUUGAAAUAAAAUGCAAGUAAGUUUGGUUAUAGCAAGUAGUAACCACAUUAUAAAGUGAUGGAGAUGUCAAAAGAAGACGUGAAAUAAUUAAUACAAUGGAGUAUUAAGAAGGUCGGUUAUCUUCGAUUUAGGUGGAUACCAAAACUAGAAAUUAAGACAAAAACAACGUAAUAAAUAGAUACCAUCCUACAAACUUAUGGUAGACUGGUAGUUAUCACUUGUAGGAUGGGCACAUACGAGGAUACCCAUUGGAUUAUUGAAUUUGUCUAGAAAGUAAUAAUUAUUUUUUAAAAAUUAAAAUAGAGAGCAAAAACACUAUCCACAGAAUUCACAAACGACCCUACGAAUUUAAUUUCCAUUUUGCCAGAACCUCUACAUAAUUGCCACCUCUAUUUUGGUUCAUUUUCAAGUUUAAUAUGUUAUUUCCUCCUUCUCAAAAUAAGUGUCAUCUUAGAAUUUCAAAAUAAAAAUUAGUAUGUUUUUUCCCAACUAUAUUCUUAUAUUAAAAAAUUAGUGCUCAAUUCUCAAGAAAUAUCGGAGUAAUAAAUAAGAGUAACUGAGUAAACUAUCAUUUUUUUUUAAUGAGUGUGAAACAAAUUAAAAUAACACUUAUUUUAGGACGGAAAGAAUAUGGUUUAUGUCAUGGAGUAUAGGCAAUAGACGUGUACAAUUCAGAGCGACAUCAAUUCACCUAACUUCAGGAGAUUCAUGGCCAAAAAUAACAACACUAAUUAUUUAGAGUAGCUAGAAACUAAAGUUUAGAACUAUGCCAAUAUAGAAUUUUCACGUGAACUAGCAUGCAUGGACACAUAAGUCGUUACCAAUACGAUAAAACAAAAAAAUGUAUUGCUUAAAAAACAAAGUAACGUCAAAUGUAAAUAACUUGUUAUAACAGGUUAAAAUACAUAAGUUAAAUUCGUACCACAAUGGGGUUGAUGAUGGGAGUAGGGGCAGCGAAGACGGGCUCGUUUCUGAUGAGACUUGGAAUAGAAGAAGAAGAAGAAGAGUUGCCAAGCCUUGCGAAGGCAACGGGACGAGUAGGUUUCUUAAGGGAAGCUUGAGCAGGGGAGAUAGUAAGGCAAUUGUUAAUGGAAGCAGUUGACAUUUCUCAAUGAGCUUCCUUUGGCUUUUGCUUGCCCUUUAUACUACUUUGUUACUCACUAGUAAUAUUAUAGCUAGUGGAUGGGUCCUUGAUUAUUGCUUCUUUAGGACUCUUACAUAUAACCAAUUCAAUAGACAAUGUUGAAAGUGAUGGCUAAGCAAAUUAGAGCUUCAAUCCAUUGUAGAUGAGGUUUGUACGUUGGAGAUUCAAUGUUGCAUCUUACUUUUGCCUUAAAAUCAUAUGGCUAAGAAGCCAAGAACCUUACAUUUCAAGAAGCUAAUUUUUUUUUCUUUAGAAAAAAUUAAUCAAGGGAUGUGGAGGAAAGAAAUAGGAUAAUGGGGCCAGGAAGAAGGGUUCUGUCUCUUUUCAGAAAAUUAAACUGCACAUAGACAGUUAAAAUCUUUUUUUUUUUUAAUGUAUAUGCAGUAGAUGUCAUUGAAUUUUCUUUGACUUCUUCGUUGCGUGUUUACUUCUUAUAUUUGAAUCGAUUGAGUAAAAAUUUUGACUCCACCGUUGAAUAAUGGACAAUGUUAUUCUUUUCUGUAGGGCAGUACAAAUUAUAUUCCCACCUACAUUUGCACUCUUUCUUUUAUUUGGUUGUCGUAUGGUCAUUUUCAUAAUUUGGACAUGCAUAUAUAUGCAAUGACCAUUCGCCUCGCCAGAGUAACAAUUAUGGCCAUAAUCUCAAUUUAGUACCAAAUUCAUCAGAUUUAGAGUCAGAAUAGUAUUUACUACUAAUUUGGAAGUCAGAACGAAAUUACUCGUCGUAGCAAAGCAAUUAUCCGCUUCGCACUGUGCUAUGUACCCAACGUUUGCCAUGGGUACAAUAACUGAUACACCAGACUUGCAUCCUUUCCGGUCAACCUCUCCUACUUACUCAAAAGUUGUUGAUCCUUUUCCAUUGUAUCCCUUCCAAUAUAUCCAAGAAUUAAUUUGGAAUAAACGUUACACAAUUAUAUUAGAGGGAUUAAAUCUCUAAAUACGUGUAUGCAUGGAAGAUGAUAUUAUGUACCUAUUUGUGAAUACAAUAUCCAAAGCAAUUUUUUUGAACUCCUUCAAUUAACUUAACAUUAAUUUCUUUGAACAAAUUACCAAAUAUCCCUUAUCCGAUCAAUGCUCGCCACAUGUCACGAUUAGAAGUGGUGAAGUGACAUGUGUCAAUAUUAAAAACAAAAAUAUAUGACUACCUCAAAUUCAAACGAAAAAUCUACGUACGGAAGAAGAAGAAAAAAUGAAUGGAGGAAGAUAAAUGAAAGAUAAAAGGAAAAGGUAGUGGAUGAGAAUAGAUAAGGUCCUAUCUUCAAUCUAAUGCUACUUGUGGUUGUACUUCAACAUUUGCUUCACAUUCUUUCAAUUUUUAUCUCCUUCAAUUAUCAAUUUGGUGGUCGAACUUUUUAGUUAUUAUCACUAUGGACCAUAUGUGUUUCUGCAACAGUAUGGCCUAAUUCUCCUUAUGUGGGGGGAAUAUAGAUGAGUUUUGAAUUAAAAAAUAAUAUUUGUCGGCAUUAUAAAAUUAUUUACUCAUUCGAUGUAUCCAACGAGUUAAUUAUUUUUCAAAAGUUAUCGAUUCAUAUCUACCGUUUAGAAAGAAAAAAAAAGGGGGGGCCAUAAAAAUGUGGUUGGCUAAUUUAAGGGAUACUCCUAUUCAGUUUAUAAAAUAGUGACUAGCAAAAAGAAUUUGUUGCACAAGCAUCAACUUUACUUAUUAGAUUACCCAUAUAUUGCAAAUGAGUGUCAGUUUAUUUAGAAUAAAGAUAUGAUAUUUCUCACCUUUGCAUUAGGAUAAUGUUGAAAGUCCCCAUUGCACUUUGGCUUGUAAAUUGAUUUAUAUACCUGUUUGUCUCCCACAAGCUCCCUGCUGAUCCUUUUAGAUGAUUUAGAACUUUGGCUAAUUUGUGUGAGUUUCAACUAUUACAUCACAUACUUGUUAUCUCCUAAGAAAUUUUGUCCACCAAGACAUACACAAUUAUGAAGAAAGCACCUAUAUAGAGUAAAACCCAAUUACACUCUCUCUGUAUAGAGUGCAGAACAUGAUUUUUGGCAUGAUCUUACUCCCUACCCAAUCGUUGUGGUGUAUAUUUCCGAAUCAAUUGAAUUGUAAGUUGCUAUAGCUUUUACCAACUACUGUGGUCUGUCGAAAUGAAAAAGAAACUAUAUCCUCCUGAUGGCCCCAAAUUCCCCUGACGCUUCUCGGUUUGAAUUUUUCACAUCGUUUUAAUCAUGAAUAUUUUGUUGAAAAUAUAUACUAUAAUAAUAAUAAACCUAUCGAGAUGAAAGCCUAGCAGAUUGCAAGACUCAUUGACCUAUGUUUUCUGAGGGAUGUCUGAGGCCAUAAUCUUAAGGAAUCCACAAAAUUGGGAAAGGGUAGAGAGAAUGAUGCAUGUUUCAUUUAAUAUAGGCAAUGGAUGGUAGAAUGAAAAUUCUGUAUUUUUUGGCCCCUUUAAGUCCAUGCAAAUGUUCCUCAAACCUCUUUAGGCAAUUUGAGAAUGUCUAUAUCACUACUCAUCGUUUCGACAUAUUAGGCACAUAAUUGCACAUAGGUCAGAUUGUCAAAUUACACAUCAAACCCUAUACCAGAGGACCCCACCCCUUC